rnacentral:rRNA from 1 species
UACGUAGGGUGCGAGCGUUGUCCGGAAUUACUGGGCGUAAAGAGCUCGUAGGUGGUUUGUCGCGUUGUUCGUGAAAACCUGAGGCUUAACCUUGGGCGUGCGGGCGAUACGGGCAGACUGGAGUACUGCAGGGGAGACUGGAAUUCCUGGUGUAGCGGUGGAAUGCGCAGAUAUCAGGAGGAACACCGGUGGCGAAGGCGGGUCUCUGGGCCGAUGCUGACGCUGAGGAGCGAAAGCGUGGGGAGCGAACAGG